GUGCUCAUUUCGGCAGCACAUAUACUAAAAUUGGAACGAUACAUAAAUUAGCAUGGCCCCUGCGCAAGAAUGACACCCAAAUUUGUGAAAUGUUCCACAUUUUU